GUGGGGAAUUUUGGACAAUGGGGGCAACCCUGAUCCAGCAAUGCCGCGUGCAGGAAGAAGGCCUUCGGGUUGUAAACUGCUUUUGUACGGAACGAAACGGUCCGGGUUAAUACCCUGGGCUAAUGACGGUACCGUAAGAAUAAGCACCGGCUAACUACGUGCCAGCAGCCGCGGUAAUACGUAGGGUGCAAGCGUUAAUCGGAAUUACUGGGCGUAAAGCGUGCGCAGGCGGUUUUGUAAGACAGGCGUGAAAUCCCCGGGCUCAACCUGGGAAUUGCGCUUGUGACUGCAAGGCUUGAGUGCGGCAGAGGGGGAUGGAAGUCCGCGUGUAGCAGUGAAAUGCGUAGAUAUGCGGAGGAACACCGAUGGCGAAGGCAAUCCCCUGGGCCUGCACUGACGCUCAUGCACGAAAGCGUGGGGAGCAAACAGGAUUAGAUACCCCGGUAGUCC
rnacentral:rRNA from 1 species